CUCACCCUCUCCACUGUCACUCAGUCUCCACUCUCAAGCACCCUCUCCACCCUCAGUCAGUUCUCUCAGGCCCAUUAAAGGAAGAAGCAGUAGCAACAGCAGCCGCAGUAGUUUGCCACUGCUGCCUCAUAAACCAUAGGAAAAGGCUUGAAAAGGCUUCACAACAUAAGCUUUUAG